rnacentral:lncRNA from 1 species
CUCUAGACAUCUAGUGAACAUAUCGAUUAAGUCAUUAAUGCUUUUCUAGGAAGUAUCAAUCGACACUAUGUAGUAUCGAUCGACACUCACUCCUUGUUUGCAUGCGAGAGCUGGAAUAAAGACUUAACCAUCUGAUUAGACUCUUAGCGAGAGCUGGAUAUCUUACUAUUGUAUUUGAGUUCUAGGACGGUUUAUAACACAUCCUUAGCAUCUAUACGUCAUAAUUGUGAUUGCCUGAAACCUGAAUCUAUCUAUUUUAUCUUAUAUUCUCACAACCAACUGCUUACCUAUUAAUGAUAUUUGUUGC